AUCAUAACUGUCACUGACGUUUUUUUUUUUUUUUUUUUUUUUUUUUUUCCCCUUUCUUUCUUUAAUCAAAAUUGUUUUUAACUUUGGCAGGGAUGUCAGUUGUUGGAAAAUUCGAAUUUAUUUUGCUUGCUUUUUUAUUCUGAAACUUUAAAAUCCUGCAAAAUUUCAAAUGUAAAUUGAGAUCAGCAUCGGAGCUAAGAAAGUGAAGCGUGUGUUUAAAAUAUUUUUGAAUAAUGAGGAUUGAAAUAAAAUAAUCAAGAUUCAUCACACAUGAUGAUUCCAUAAAAGAUUUCUGAGUGAUCCCAAGAGAAACCAAAAGAUCAUCAAAUAUAUUAUUCCUGAUUUCCAUCAUCCCCUUAUCAAGAGUCAUGUAACCACCUAGGCGGGAAAGU
rnacentral:lncRNA from 1 species